rnacentral:rRNA from 1 species
AACGAACGCUGGCGGCAGGCUUAACACAUGCAAGUCGAACGCGCCGCAAGGGGAGUGGCAGACGGGUGAGUAACGCGUGGGAAUCUACCCAGAACUUCGGAACAACUGAGGGAAACUUCAGCUAAUACCGGAUACGCCCUACGGGGGAAAGAUUUAUCGGUUUUGGAUGAGCCCGCGUUGGAUUAGCUAGUUGGUGGGGUAAUGGCCUACCAAGGCGACGAUCCAUAGCUGGUCUGAGAGGAUGAUCAGCCACACUGGGACUGAGACACGGCCCAGACUCCUACGGGAUGCAGCAGUGGGGAAUAUUGGAGAAUGGGCGAAAGCCUGAUCCAGCCAUGCCGCGUGAGUGAUGAAGGCCUUAGGGUUGUAAAGCUCUUUCAGUGGGGAAGAUAAUGACGGUACCCACAGAAGAAGCCCCGGCUAACUUCGUGCCAGCCGCCGCAGUAAAAC